rnacentral:rRNA from 1 species
UACGAAGGUGCAAGCGUUGCUCGGAAUCUCUGGGCGUAAAGCGCCCGUCGGCGGGUGUGUCAGUCAGGGGUGAAAUCCCGGAGCUCAACUUCGGAACUGCCUUUGAUACAGCACGUCUUGAGUCCGAUAGAGGUGGGUGGAAUUCCUAGUGUAGAGGUGAAAUUCGUAGAUAUUAGGAAGAACACCGGUGGCGAAGGCGGCCCACUGGAUCGGUACUGACGCUGAGGUGCGAAAGCGUGGGGAGCAAACAGG